AUUUGUCAUUGAGUUUUUCUUCAGUGACUGUAAAUCUGAUUUACAGUGUUUACGUUUGCUUUUUUUUUUUUUGUCUCUCAAAAGAGAAGCCAUAGAAAACAUUUUGAGAGGCCAAGAUUAUCCAGACAGGCACUAUAAAAGGAGUGCACACCAAGGUGAGACAGGGAUACUGCUACAUGACUGGUGACAUUUACUCUAAAAGGGUAG